GACGAACGCUGGCGGCGUGCCUAAUACAUGCAAGUCGAACGCUUCUUUUUCCACCGGAGCUUGCUCCACCGGAAAAAAAAGAGUGGCGAACGGGUGAGUAACACGUGGGUAACGUGCCCAUCAGAAGGGGAUAACACUUGGAAACAGGUGCUAAUACCGUAUAACAAUCGAAACCGCAUGGUUUUGAUUUGAAAGGCGCUUUCGGGUGUCGCUGAUGGAUGGACCCGCGGUGCAUUAGCUAGUUGGUGGGGUAACGGCUCACCAAGGCCACGAUGCAUAGCCGACCUGAGAGGGUGAUCGGCCACAUUGGGACUGAGACACGGCCCAAACUCCUACGGGAGGCAGCAGUAGGGAAUCUUCGGCAAUGGACGAAAGUCUGACCGAGCAACGCCGCGUGAGUGAAGAAGGUCUUCGGAUCGUAAAACUCUGUUGUUAGAGAAGAACAAGGAUGAGAGUAACUGUUCAUCCCUUGACGGUAUCUAACCAGAAAGCCACGGCUAACUACGUGCCAGCAGCCGCCGUAA
rnacentral:rRNA from 1 species